UUAGAGUAUAUUUAAACAUGUUUUCUGACCAAAUUGCCGAAUAAAUAGAGGAAUAAAAUAGCGCUAAUUAGCCUAGCGGCUAACGCGUUUUGUUAUGCUAAGCUAGCCCAUUGAAUCUAGCCUGUGAUAAGCUAAUGCUAAGCUAAUUUAGCCUACGCUAAGCUAAUGUGUUGAAUUUAGCUUAUUAAGCUUAUGCUAAGCUAACCCUCGUGUAUAUAUUUCAAGCCUGAGGCUAUGCUAACGCUAUUGGUUAAGGUGUGAAAUGAGUUUAUCCACUUAUAAAUGUAAUUUUAUGGAACGGUGGAGAUUUAUUAAGCUGUAUUUUGGAUGUUUAAGACCUGUUUUGAAUGUAAUACUGUUAAAAGUAAUGUUUUUUACUGAGUUCGGUUAUGUAAGUGUAUUUAAAAAAAAAUUAAGAGUUAUGUGAAACUCAGACACUGUUUUAUGUAAACAGGCCAGUUUUUUUUGUUGGGUGAAAUGGAUUGGAAAUGGAUCUUCCCGAACACUCCUCGUGUCGUUCAGCUGCACACGGCCGGUGCAGUGCGCGGUGCUAGGAUGGCGAGCCAAGCCCGAGGACCCAAGUGACUUCAUUACACUUCAUUCACAUUUUCAAACACUUGAUAGUGAACAUUAAAGAAAAUUUGUGGACUUUAA